UGGGCUGUAUAGGUAGAAGAUGGAGAUCUAUAAAGUUGUAGUGGAAGUCGGGACGAAAUACGGGCUGUAGAGGUGGAAUAUGGCUUCGGGACAUAAUCGGUAUUAAUAGGAAAGUUGGGAAAAUUGCAGAAAACAUAGGAAGAAGAAGGAGCGCAUGCACUACACGCAGGGCGCGUGAGGAGCCGCGACUGGGCGUGCGACUGGGAGUUCUCCUGGCGCGUGGGACAAAC